rnacentral:rRNA from 1 species
UACGGGGGGAGCAAGCGUUGUUCGGAUUUACUGGGCGUAAAGGGCGCGUAGGCGGUCAGCACAAGUCAAUUGUGAAAUCUCCGGGCUUAACUCGGAAAGGUCAACUGAUACUGCGGGGCUAGAGUGAGCGGAAGGGGCAACUGGAAUUCUCGGUGUAGCGGAUGAAAUGCGUAGAUAUCGAGAGGAACACCUGCGGCGAAGGCGGGUUGCUGGGCCGACACUGACGCUGAUGCGCGAAAGCCAGGGAGCGAACGGG